rnacentral:rRNA from 1 species
AAUAGAUACCCUGGUAGUCCACGCCGUAAACGAUGAGUGCUAAGUGUUAGAGGGUUUCCGCCCUUUAGUGCUGAAGUUAACGCAUUAAGCACUCCGCCUGGGGAGUACGGCCGCAAGGCUGAAACUCAAAGGAAUUGACGGGGGCCCGCACAAGCGGUGGAGCAUGUGGUUUAAUUCGAAGCAACGCGAAGAACCUUACCAGGUCUUGACAUCCUCUGACAACCCUAGAGAUAGGGCUUCUCCUUCGGGAGCAGAGUGACAGGUGGUGCAUGGUUGUCGUCAGCUCGUGUCGUGAGAUGUUGGGUUAAGUCCCGCAACGAGCGCAACCCUUGAUCUUAGUUGCCAUCAUUUAGUUGGGCACUCUAAGGUGACUGCCGGUGACAAACCGGAGGAAGGUGGGGAUGACGUCAAAUCAUCAUGCCCCUUAUGACCUGGGCUACACACGUGCUACAAUGGACGGUACAAAGAGCUGCAAGACCGCGAGGUGGAGCUAAUCUCAUAAAACCGUUCUCAGUUCGGA